GACGAACGCUGGCGGCGUGCUUAACACAUGCAAGUCGAGCGGUAAGGCCCUUUCGGGGGUACGACGAGCGGCGAACGGGUGAGUAACACGUGGGUGACCUGCCCUCAGCUCUGGGAUAAGCCUGGGAAACCGGGUCUAAUACCGGAUAUGACUCCAUGACGCAUGUUGUGGGGUGGAAAGCCUUGUGCGGCUGAGGAUGGGCCCGCGGCCUAUCAGCUUGUUGGUGGGGUGAUGGCCUACCAAGGCGACGACGGGUAGCCGGCCUGAGAGGGCGACCGGCCACACUGGGACUGAGACACGGCCCAGACUCCUACGGGAGGCAGCAGUGGGGAAUCUUGCGCAAUGGGCGAAAGCCUGACGCAGCGACGCCGCGUGA
rnacentral:rRNA from 1 species